rnacentral:rRNA from 1 species
AAUAGUAAUAGUGAAAUGUAUAUAGAAUUGGUAUAAAACAAAUUGGAUAUUGGUAGCUUGAAAAGGUAGAUAUUCGAUUCACGAAAGCUUGAGGUGUGACAGGGAUUUGAGACCCCUUUAAUUCGAGACUGAAAUUAUGCAGGCAAUGUUUGUGGAUCUCUUUUUAACAAAUAAAGGUUCUUUUCCUAAGGAGUACGCUUUCACUUGUGAAACUUAAAUGUUCUGGUGGUGGUUUAGAACAAUAGUGGAAUAGAUGAUUUAAUUCGAUGAAAUGCGAUAAAGCUUAUCUGUUAUCUGAAAUAAUACCUAGGUAUAGGUAGAAUUCUAUUCGAGGUAGUGCAUGGCUGUUGGAGGGUAAUGUUUUGUAAUAUCUGGUUUCGGACAGGAAUAGCCGAUACACUUUUAGUUGU